rnacentral:tRNA from 1 species
GGGGGAUUAGCUCAGCUGGGAGAGCGCCGCCUUUGCAAGGCGGAGGUCGUCGGUUCGAUCCCGUCAUCCUCCA